rnacentral:rRNA from 1 species
AUGGCAUCCGCCGCUAGCUACACCGCCACGCCCGACCUCAACCUGAAAGCGCAAGCGCCUACGGUGAGCGAGAUCGCGCAGUCUCUCUUCCCAGGGGCCUCCCAAACGAAGGCGCAGCUCGCAAGCUCUCUCUGUGCAGUGGGUUCUGCCACGUUCGUCUUCGGCAUGAGCACCGCUUUCCACCCGCCGCAGGCCGGACCAAUCUUCGGCCCGGUCUUCCACUACCUCAUCCUCGCCGUGGUCGUCGCCACCGCUGCCGUUGAGAUGGCGACCGCCAUCUUUCUGGACAUCCCCGCCCUCUCCGACAAUCCGCGCCUCCACACCUCCGCGAGGCGUCUGCUGCCGUUCGCGUACCUUGUGCUCCGUCCAUGGAUAGUGUUUUCUGUAAAGCAUGACUGGGGGAAGAUAUCGGGUGCUCCGGGAGCUUCUGAGCCGUUGGAUCUAUAA